GUUCGCCUUGGUGACUCUGGAUAACUUUGCGGAUCGCACGGUCUAGCACCGGCGACGGAUCAUUCAAGUGUCUGCCCUAUCAACUUUCGUCGGUACGGUAUUUGCCUACCGAGGUUCUUACGGGUGACGGGGAAUCAGGGUUCGAUUCCGGAGAGGGAGCCUGAGAAACGGCUACCACAUCCAAGGAAGGCAGCAGGCGCGCAAAUUACCCAUUCCCGACGCGGGGAGGUAGUGACGAAAAAUAACAAUGCAGGACUCGUUCGAGGCCCUGUAAUUGGAAUGAGUACACUUUAAAAGCUUUAACGAGUAUCCAUUGGAGGGCAAGUCUGGUGCCAGCAGCCGCGGUAAUUCCAGCUCCAAAAGUAUAUAUUUAAGUUGUUGCGGUUAAAAAGCUCGUAGUUGGAUUUUGGGCGCAGGCGGCCGGUCCGUCGCAAGGCGUGUACUGGACGUCCUGGCCUUCCCUCCGGUUCUCCGCCGGUGCUCUUGACUGAGUGUCGGCGGCGGCCGGAACGUUUACUUUGAAAAAAUUAGAGUGUUCAAAGCAGGCUCUCGAGCCUGGAUAAUGGUGCAUGGAAUAAUGGAAUAGGACCUCGGUUCUAUUUUGUUGGUUUUCGGAGCGCGAGGUAAUGAUUAAGAGGGACAGACGGGGGCAUUCGUACUGUGCCAUUAGAGGUGAAAUUCUUGGAUCGGCGCAAGACGAACGACUGCGAAAGCAUUUGCCAAGAAUGUUUUCUUUAAUCAAGAGCGAAAGUCAGAGGUUCGAAGACGAUCAGAUACCGUCCUAGUUCUGACUAUAAACGAUGCCAACUAGCGAUCGGGGGGCGUUACAUUGACGACCCCUCCGGCAGCUUACGGGAAACCAAAGUCUUUGGGUUCCGGGGGAAGUAUGGUUGCAAAGCUGAAACUU
rnacentral:ncRNA from 1 species